GUUGGUGGGGGAAAGAUGAUGAAGAGACUCCAAGGAUCUGUGCAGCUGUGGAAGGCAGUGGGUUCCUUCCACUCUGUCCGUCUCUUGCGCGCUGGAUCCCAGCGUGGGUGGUCGCUGCGUGGAGUGGAGUGCUCAGGAAUAAUAUGAUUAUUAUCCCUGGAGAGAGCCAACUAAUCAUUCUGGAGCCACAGGAGAAGUCAUGCAAAUCUGAUUCAAGAACGUGCCCAUCACUAGCAACUACCGUGAUGUCAAAUGAAACAGACAGAAAAUAUACAGACCUGGAAUCAGAGGGAAGAAAACAAAGAGGCCGUUUAUGUCGUCAUUCUUAAUCAGUGAGUGUGACAGACCUCUUUUAUCUGAAAAGAUCAAGGGAAAUCUGACUCCUCAAAAUACGAUCCCUUUAAAAGAAAAGAGGAAGAAUACAUCACAUAUCUGGGAGAUACUGCCUGAAAAAGUGUUAAUGAUAUGUGGCCACAUCAAAUUUGCACAUUGCAAAAUAGGUAUUUAAUAACACUGCAUGGAUAAGAAAUGGAUUAGAUGGAUUCAGUGGGGAGAAAUGUGCACUGCAAGUACUCAUGGUUACUUCAUCCACAACAGAAUGUCACACAUCUGGACCACAGAGACCUCACAGAGAACACAUUGUGUCUUUUGACUCCUGUUCUUGAGGAAGCCUGCAGGUCCACUCAUGCAAUCUGCUGCUUCAUUUGUCUGCAGCGUCCCCUCUUCUAUCCCAUUACGUAUGCGCACAUACUCUCACACCCAAA